UACGUAGGGUGCGAGCGUUAAUCGGAAUUACUGGGCGUAAAGGGUGCGCAGGCGGCCGAGCAAGUCGAGUGUGAAAGCCCCGAGCUUAACUUGGGAACUGCGCUCGAAACUACUUGGCUAGAGUGUGGCAGAGGGAGGUGGAAUUCCACGUGUAGCGGUGAAAUGCGUAGAGAUGUGGAGGAACACCAGAGGCGAAGGCGGCCGGCUGGACCUGACCUGACGCUGAGGCACGAAGGCGUGGGGAGCGAACGGG
rnacentral:rRNA from 1 species